rnacentral:RNase_P_RNA from 1 species
ACAGCAGGCCGGGUGGUCGCUCCCUGCCCCGCGCAGGGGGAGGAAGGUCCGGGCUCCACCGGGCAGCGUGCUGGGUAACGCCCAGGCGGGGUGACCCGCGGAAAGUGGCACAGAAACCAGACCGCCCGGGCCCUGCGGCCCGGGUAAGGGUGAAAAGGUGGGGUAAGAGCCCACCAGCGGCAGGGUGACCUGCCGGCUGGCCAAACCCCACGCGGAGCAAGGCCAAAUAGGAGGGCAGGCCCUGCGGGGCCUAGGGACGCCCGGCCCGACGCCCUCGGGUAGGCCGCUAGAGCCUCUCCGCAAGGGGAGGCCCAGAGUGAUGACCACCGGCCGCCCCCUUGGGGCGGCUACAGAACCCGGCCUACAGGCCUGCUAGGCCC